rnacentral:rRNA from 1 species
UACGGAGGGUGCAACCGUUGCUCGGAAUCAUUGGGCGUAAAGCGCACGUAGGCGGCUUGUUAAGUCGGAUGUGAAAGCCCUCGGCUCAACCGAGGAAGUGCAUACGAAACUGGCGAGCUUGAAUAUGGAAGAGGGUCGCGGAAUUCCCGGUGUAGAGGUGAAAUUCGUAGAUAUCGGGAGGAACACCAGUGGCGAAGGCGGCGACCUGGGCCAAUAUUGACGCUGAGGUGCGAAAGCGUGGGGAGCAAACAGG